rnacentral:rRNA from 1 species
GAUGAACGCUGGCGGCGUGCUUAACACAUGCAAGUCGAACGGAAAGGCCAGUGCUUGCACUGGUACUCGAGUGGCGAACGGGUGAGUAACACGUGGGUGAUCUGCCCUGCACUUCGGGAUAAGCCUGGGAAACUGGGUCUAAUACCGGAUAGGACAAUGGUUUGGAUGCCGUUGUGGAAAGUUUUUUCGGUGUGGGAUGAGCUCGCGGCCUAUCAGCUUGUUGGUGGGGUAAUGGCUUACCAAGGCGUCGACGGGUAGCCGGCCUGAGAGGGUGUACGGCCACAUUGGGACUGAGAUACGGCCCAGACUCCUACGGGAGGCAGCAGUGGGGAAUAUUGCACAAUGGGCGCAAGCCUGAUGCAGCGACGCCGCGUGGGGGAUGACGGCCUUCGGGUUGUAAACUCCUUUCGCUAGGGACGAAGCGUAUUUGUGACGGUACCUGGAGAAGAAGCACCGGCUAACUACGUG